AGAGUUUGAUCCUGGCUCAGGACGAACGCUGGCGGCGUGCUUAACACAUGCAAGUCGAGCGAUGAAGCUUCCUUCGGGGAGUGGAUUAGCGGCGGACGGGUGAGUAACACGUGGGUAACCUGCCUCAAAGUGGGGGAUAGCCUUCCGAAAGGAAGAUUAAUACCGCAUAAUAUAAGAGAAUCGCAUGAUUUUCUUAUCAAAGAUUUAUUGUUUUGAGAUGGACCCGCGGCGCAUUAGCUAGUUGGUAAGGUAACGGCUUACCAAGGCAACGAUGCGUAGCCGACCUGAGAGGGUGAUCGGCCACAUUGGAACUGAGACACGGUCCAGACUCCUACGGGAGGCAGCAGUGGGGAAUAUUGCGCAAUGGGGGAAACCCUGACGCAGCAACGCCGCGUGGGUGAUGAAGGUCUUCGGAUUGUAAAGCCCUGUUUUCUAGGACGAUAAUGACGGUACUAGAGGAGGAAGCCACGGCUAACUACGUGCCAGCAGCCGCGGUAAUACGUAGGUGGCGAGCGUUGUCCGGAUUUACUGGGCGUAAAGGGUGCGUAGGCGGAUGUUUAAGUGGGAUGUGAAAUCCCCGGGCUUAACCUGGGGGCUGCAUUCCAAACUGGAUAUCUAGAGUGCAGGAGAGGAAAGCGGAAUUCCUAGUGUAGCGGUGAAAUGCGUAGAGAUUAGGAAGAACACCAGUGGCGAAGGCGGCUUUCUGGACUGUAACUGACGCUGAGGCACGAAAGCGUGGGUAGCAAACAGGAUUAGAUACCCUGGUAGUCCACGCCGUAAACGAUGGAUACUAGGUGUAGGGGGUAUCAACUCCCCCUGUGCCGCAGUUAACACAAUAAGUAUCCCGCCUGGGGAGUACGGUCGCAAGAUUAAAACUCAAAGGAAUUGACGGGGGCCCGCACAAGCAGCGGAGCAUGUGGUUUAAUUCGAAGCAACGCGAAGAACCUUACCUGGACUUGACAUCCCUUGCAUAGCCUAGAGAUAGGUGAAGCCCUUCGGGGCAAGGAGACAGGUGGUGCAUGGUUGUCGUCAGCUCGUGUCGUGAGAUGUUAGGUUAAGUCCUGCAACGAGCGCAACCCUUGUUAUUAGUUGCUACCAUUAAGUUGAGCACUCUAAUGAGACUGCCUGGGUAACCAGGAGGAAGGUGGGGAUGACGUCAAAUCAUCAUGCCCCUUAUGUCCAGGGCUACACACGUGCUACAAUGGUAGGUACAAUAAGACGCAAGACCGUGAGGUGGAGCAAAACUUAUAAAACCUAUCUCAGUUCGGAUUGUAGGCUGCAACUCGCCUACAUGAAGCUGGAGUUGCUAGUAAUCGCGAAUCAGAAUGUCGCGGUGAAUACGUUCCCGGGCCUUGUACACACCGCCCGUCACACCAUGAGAGCUGGUAACACCCGAAGUCCGUGAGGUAACCGUAAGGAGCCAGCGGCCGAAGGUGGGAUUAGUGAUUGGGGUGAAGUCGUAACAAGGUAGCCGUAGGAGAACCUGCGGCUGGAUCACCUCC
rnacentral:rRNA from 2 species